rnacentral:rRNA from 1 species
AGAUUGAACGCUGGCGGCAUGCUUUACACAUGCAAGUCGAACGGUAACAGGCCGCAAGGUGCUGACGAGUGGCGAACGGGUGAGUAAUGCAUCGGAACGUGCCCAGUCGUGGGGGAUAACGCAGCGAAAGCUGUGCUAAUACCGCAUACGAUCUAUGGAUGAAGGCGGGGACCGAAAGGCCUCGCGCGAUUGGAGCGGCCGAUGUCAGAUUAGCUAGUUGGUGGGUAAAGCCCACCAAGGCGACGAUCUGUAGCUGGUCUGAGAGGACGACCAGCCACACUGGAACUGAGACACGGUCCAGACUCCUACGGGAGCAGCAGUGGGAAUCUUGCGCAAGUGGGACGAAAGCCUGACGCAGCCAUCGCCGCGUGUAUGAUGAAGUCUUAAGGAUUAGUAAAAUU